rnacentral:lncRNA from 1 species
AUCACAAUAAUCACAAUUCACUGAAUAUAUCCAAUCUUUAAUAUGUAACAUCGGCCGAUAACAAUAGAAAUUUGGUCAAAAUUCUGUUGUUUGUAACUAAGGAUGCUCAUAGGCGAUCUCUAACAAGUAAACAACACGAAAGCUACCGUCGUGUUCCAACUGUUACGAACGCGUUCACAGUUGAAAACUUGUCAAUCUCACCUGUAAAUAACUAUCGCUUAAUAGCUCUUACAUUCCGUGAAAUUCCCUUUAAAAUAAAGGGGGCAAAUUUCUAUCGCAUCAACCAAUGCCCAACACUAUUACUGCAAUCUUCACCACAUGGCUCCACCAUUCCUCUUCCUUCAACAUCCAUGACCAACAACCAGAAGGAGCGUGUUGUUCAAAAGCAG